GGGACCCGUCUUGAAACACGGACCAAGGAGUCUAGCAUGUGCGCGAGUCAUUGGGAUUUUUACUAAACCUAAAGGCGCAAUGAAAGUGAAGGUCCGCCUUGCGCGGACCGAGGGAGGAUGGACCGUUCCGAGGGACGAUCUCGCACUCCCGGGGCGUCUCGCUCUCAUCGCGAGAAGAGGCGCACCCAGAGCGUACACGCUGGGACCCGAAAGAUGGUGAACUAUGCCUGGUCAGGACGAAGUCAGGGGAAACCCUGAUGGAGGUCCGUAGCGAUUCUGACGUGCAAAUCGAUCGUCGGAACUGGGUAUAGGGGCGAAAGACUAAUCGAACCAUCUAGUAGCUGGUUCCCUCCGAAGUUUCCCUCAGGAUAGCUGGCGCUCGCUUCUCGCGAGUCUCAUUCGGUAAAGCGAAUGAUUAGAGGCAUUGGGGUCGAAACGGCCUCAACCUAUUCUCAAACUUUAAAUGGGUGAGAUCUCCGGCUUGCUUGAACUGUGAAGCCGCGAGAUAUCGGAUCAGAGUGCCAAGUGGGCCACUUUUGGUAAGCAGAACUGGCGCUGUGGGAUGAACCAAACGCUGAGUUAAAGCGCCUAAAUCGACGCUUAUGGGAUACCAUGAAAGGCGUUGGUAACUUAAGACAGCAGGACGGUGGCCAUGGAAGUCGGAAUCCGCUAAGGAGUGUGUAAA
rnacentral:rRNA from 3 species